CCUACGGGGGGCAGCAGUAGGGAAUCUUCGGCAAUGGACGAAAGUCUGACCGAGCAACGCCGCGUGAGUGAAGAAGGUUUUCGGAUCGUAAAACUCUGUUGUUAGAGAAGAACAAGUAGGAGAGUAACUGCUCUUACCUUGACGGUAUCUAACCAGAAAGCCACGGCUAACUACGUGCCAGCAGCCGCGGUAAUACGUAGGUGGCAAGUGUUGCCCGGAUUUAUUGGGCGUAAAGCGAGCGCAGGCGGUCUUUUAAGUCUGAUGUGAAAGCCCUCGGCUCAACCGAGGAAGGUCAUUGGAAACUGGAGGACUUGAGUGCAGAAGAGGAGAGUGGAAUUCCAUGUGUAGCGGUGAAAUGCGUAGUUAUAUGGAGGAACACCAGUGGCGAAGGCGACUCUCUGGUCUGUAACUGACGCUGAGGCUCGAAAGCAUGGGGAGCAAACAGGAUUAGAUACCCUCGUAGUC
rnacentral:rRNA from 1 species